CUGGGUUAUAGACAAUUCUCCUGCCUCUUUAAGUUGUAAAACAGCCUCAGUUUAAGAACUGGAAUUUCAGGUGCAAGAUAAAAAUGGAACGUUUCAAUUUCACCCAACGGUUGAACUAAAACCUCUGAGUUUUGACCUGUUGAUGGCUUCCUGACUGCAAGGAAAGGGGCGUGGCCAGUUCCUGCUUUCUCUUCCUUCAUCUUCUACGCAGUCUCAACUUCUCAUCCCUUCCUAGCUAGUGUUCUGCUCCUUUCAGGGCAGGGGUUGUGUGUGUGAGGGGCAGGGGUGUGUGUGGUAAGGGAAUGGGGCAGUUCUUUCUAGACUGGGAGGUUUGUGUUCUUUGAGUCUGGCAGAUGUUUAAAGCUUACUCUUUGGAGAGUCCAAUCAAUGCCAUUCUUUUGGCCCAGGAAGAUGCAUCUUAACUGUGAGGGGUUAUUUUCUACUCUUUCAUAGCCUCUAGGAACCUGGUCUUCUUCCUCAGCUUCUUGUUGCUGGAAUGGAUCACUGAACCUUCUAGAAACCCCCACUGGGCAGAACCCAAGACAACCCUUCUCUGAUUUUUCUCUUGUGGUUUACAGGGGUCCCUGGGAAACACUCGAGCAUCUCUCAUUCCAGCAGGUUUUAAAAGUGUGGACUGAACCCAGAAGAACACCCUCUAUCCUGUUUUCCCAGACCAAGCACUUUAGUUUUCUCAGGUAAACAAACAAAUGAAAGAGAAGGAAAUUGCAGAUAGUAAUCAGCUGCAUGAAGAAAUGAGGUCGGGUUGAUGGGACAGAGAGGCCCAGGGAAAGAAGAGCUAAUUUAGAAUGUGUGAUCUGAGAAGGCAUCUAGCUCUGAGAAGGUGGCAGUUUGAGCUGCGGCCUGAAGGACACCAGUUUCGCCAAGAUCCGGGGUCUAUGGAUUCCAUGUAGAGAUAUACACAGUAUUUGGAUAUUCUGCCAUUUGUUCCGUGAUGCUCGCCUGCCCGUAACUCCAGGAAGGGACAGAAUUACAGUCCACAUGGGUCUCACAUGACUGCCAAUGCUGACUAGACAUGUAAUACAGGUCAGACACAAAGGCAGUGAAUACAAGGGCUGACCGGUAAGUUUUUGUGUGUGGUCUGACUCAUAUGAGUGAGUUAUGCCAAUCAGAUUUUGUCUCUGUUUGCCAAUCAGAUUUUGCCAAUCAGCUUCAACCAAGCCACCGAGUCUUGCCAGUCAUUAAUGGACAUUGGUGUUGGAAAGUUUUAGAGUCAGGGGGUUGUGGUGGCAGCCACCGGGGCCACAUGUCAGUUGUUGAGAGGGUAGUAAAUGUUUAAAUGUUAAAUAAGCUUGCAUUUAACUUUUUUACUUCAAUUCUUUUAAGUGUGUAACCAGAGAAGUCACAAUUAGAAUAGAAAUUGGUACCAGGAGUGGGGUUCAAACCGAUAGAGCCUCAACACAGGAGACUAGCUAUGGUAUUAUCGAGAUGAUAUACGAUAAAAAAUUGUUUUCAUUACAGGAUAGGAAAUUUGCAGUCUGUGAUUUUUGGUGGAAAAACAACGAAUUAGGUCGGCAUCUGCUAUCCCUUGAGACUCAGGCCAUAUGCAUACCAAAGGUGAAGCUUUGGGAGGCUUGAUGCCUGAAUGUAAGGAUAAUGAAGCAGAUUAUUUAUUGCUUACAACCUAAGAUAAUGGCCAGCAGCAAAGAGACAGUUUCUGUCAAGAAUGCCUGUCUGUGAGCAACUAAGAAAAACAGGGGGAUUAUGUAACUCUGGUGCAGAAAGCCCAUUUUGCCUGUAGCUGGAGCUCUCUGAUUGCUUACAGCCGAGUCCAGAAACCAAACCGUGGUCUUGCCAAACUGUGGUCUGGUCCUAAUUUUCCGUCUCAUUGAAUUUCUAGUGCCAAAGUUAAAGCUCUGAUUGACAAAGAUGGAUGUCCAGGCCAUUGGAAAAGAAUUCUUUGGGAGGAGGAGUUGCUGGGGAACAUGACGCCCCUCAAUGCCCCUCCCAGGCAUUUCUCACUCCAUCUUCCCCGCAAAACAAGGAGACUCUUCCCACUGAGAGGCAAGUCUCACAGGGAGGGUGGGAGUACGGAUAAGGAAGACCGAGGAGGAAAGACAUUCCACUUGAGGUUACAGCCUUUCUGUGCCAUGAGGCAUCGGCUAUUAAGAAAAGGACAGUCAGAUGGAAGAAGCUAAUCCUGGGUUCUAAACAGCAAAAGAUUUGGGAGCCUGGUCCUCAGGAUUCAUUUGGGCUGUUAAGAAUAGGCGGUCUUCUAAGGACAUUGGCUUUACCGUGUCAGCCAGGGGUCCUCUGUUGCUAUAGGAUUUGACAUACGCUUGGACCAGGAGCCACUGUGUGGUUCUUGCCCCAGAGAUCUCUUCUUGCCUCCAUUUUUUUUUCUUUCCUCUACUUUUCUGAGUGAUUCUCCCCCGCCUCCCCC